rnacentral:rRNA from 1 species
UACGUAGGGCGCAAGCGUUGUCCGGAAUUAUUGGGCGUAAAGAGCUCGUAGGCGGCUUGUCACGUCGGUUGUGAAAGCCCGGGGCUUAACCCCGGGUCUGCAGUCGAUACGGGCUAGCUAGAGUGUGGUAGGGGAGAUCGGAAUUCCUGGUGUAGCGGUGAAAUGCGCAGAUAUCAGGAGGAACACCGGUGGCGAAGGCGGAUCUCUGGGCCGUUACUGACGCUGAGGCACGAAAGCGUGGGGAGCAAACAGG